GACGAACGCUGGCGGCGUGCUUAACACAUGCAAGUCGAACGGUGAAGCGCCUUCCUUUUUGGUGGGUGUGGAUGAGUGGCGAACGGGUGAGUAACACGUGAGUAACCUGCCCCCUUCUUCUGGAUAACCGCAUGAAAGUGUGGCUAAUACGGGAUAUUCUGGGUCUGUCGCAUGAUGGGUCUGGGAAAGAUAUUGUUUCGGUGGGGGAUGGGCUCGCGGCCUAUCAGCUUGUUGGUGGGGUGAUGGCCUACCAAGGCGGUGACGGGUAGCCGGCCUGGGAGGGUGGACGGUCACACUGGGACUGAGACACGGCCAAGACUCCUACGGGAGGCAGCAGUGGGGAAUAUUGCACAAUGGGCGCAAGCCUGAUGCAGCGACGCCGCGUGAGGGAUGGAGGCCUUCGGGUUGUGAACCUCUUUCGCCAGUGAAGCAGGCCUGCCUCGUUUGUGGGUGGGUUGACGGUAGCUGGAUAAGAAGCGCCGGCUAACUACGUG
rnacentral:rRNA from 1 species